GUGGUAGAGGGCCGUAACUACAUUGAGGCAAAUGAGGCAAAUGCCUCAUGUUUUAAAUUUCAAAAAAAAAAAAAAAAACUAAAACAAAAGAUUGUCUUCAUAUGAUUGUCUUCAUAUCAAAUUGUUUUCACUGAAAGUGUCUUGCAAGAAGCAAGUUCUCUUCACUCUCUGAUGUCGCCCCUGCAUAUUUUUCGUAAUCCAUGUUUCUAUUUUACUUUUGGUUUUCAGAGUUGAUGGUCUAUUGUUUGUACUUCUGUAUCCCGGGUUUGUCUUUUGUUCAUUUAUUGUCCUACUAAUGACUAGUCUGAGUGUUGAUUUUCAUUUGUAAACGUGUCACACUGUGUAAUGGUGCAUGUCCACCGAUGUUCAGGCAUUAUGCGAGAAAAUAUUUAAAGAAUAUACGAUGCUACUGGACACAGAAAAAAGUGGUCGUUUCUGCAUGGAGAAUUGAACUCGAUAUCAAAGAAUACGAAACUGCCUUUCUUGUAUAUAAAACCAUACCCA
rnacentral:lncRNA from 1 species